GCCCAGGUGGUGGAAUUGGUAGACACGCAGGUCUCAGAAGCCUGUGCCGAAAGGUGUUCGGGUUCGAGUCCCGAUCUGGGCA
rnacentral:tRNA from 1 species